GGGGAGUAUGGUUGCAAGGCUGAAACUUCAAGGAAUUGACGGAAGGGCACCACCAGGAGUGGAGCCUGCAGCUUAAUUUGACUAAACAGGGGGAAACUUACCAGGUUCAUACAUAGUAAGGAUUGACAGACUGAGAGCCCUUUCUUGAGUCUAUGGGAGGUGGUGCAUGGCCAUUCUUAGUUGGUGGAGCGAUUUGUCUGGUUAAUUCCGUUAACGAACGAGACCUCAGCCUGCUAACUAGCUACGUGGAGGUAUCCUCGACGGCCAGCUUCUUAGAGGGGCUAUGGCCGUUUAGGCCAUGGAAGUUUGAGGCAAUAACAGGUCUGUGAAAUUUCUGGGCCGCACACGUGCUACACUGAUGUAUUCAACGAGUAUAUGGCCUUGGCCGACAGGCCUUGAUAAUCUGUCGAAAUUUCAUCGUGAUGGGGAUAGAUCAUUGCAAUUGUUGGUCUUCAACGAGGAAUUCCUAGUAAGCGCGAGUCAUCAGCUCGCGUUGACUACAUCCCUGCCCUGUCGCUCCUACGAAUUGAAUGGUCCGGUGAAGUGUUCGGAUCGCGGCGAUAGAGGCGGUCCGCCGCUGGCGACAUCGCGAGAAGUCCAUUGAACCUUAUCAUUUAGAGGAAGGAGAAGUCGUAACAAGGUUUUCGUAAGUGAACCUGCGAAAG
rnacentral:ncRNA from 1 species